rnacentral:sRNA from 1 species
UGUGGGAGCGAGCCUGCUCGCGAUGGCGCCGGGUCAGCAUGCUUGAUGUCGACUGACGCACCGCAAUCGCGAGCAGGCUCGCUCCCACA